CUGUUUUCCUCUCCUUCUCUUUGUCGAUCUCAGUUCAGAAGAAUUGAGUUAUUUUUGUGUGAGAUAAUCAUAGAAAGUUAGGUAGUGGGAUAAAUUGAAGAAGAUGAUGUUAGAACUGAAGUUGGUUGAACUCGAGAGAAGAAGAAACUGAUGUUGUUGUAGUUGAAAUUAGGGUUUUGGGUUUGAUUUCGAGUUCUAAGGUGAAUCGAUGGGUUAAUUGGACUAUUGAUAGAUGAAGAUUAUGAGGGUUGGUGUUUAAUUGAAGUUUUGAAGCUGUUCUGGUGAUUAAUCAUAAAACAGGAAAUUAGAGUUCACCCCGUUCUUCUUCAAUUUGGAAUUAAGGUUCCUGAGUUAGAGAAUUUAGUUCUUUAGUAAGAUGCAGAUGUUGCUGGUAGAGAUGAAGGUUGAAUCACUGGUAGAGUUGUUGUUGCGGGGAAUAUAUGUAUGAACUGAGAAAUGGUGUGUGGAUGGUGUUUAAGUUUUAGUUAUGAAUUUCUAGGUUGAACUGCAGGUGAUGAUGCUUAGCUAGAUAGUCUGAGUUAAGUUAGAGUCGCAAUCCAUGAGCUGUUGAGAUGACAAUAUUGAACUUGUACUGAACUCAAGAAGUGAAGAUGUAUAAGAGAUGCAGGUAUGAACACAUGAAGUCAAUGAAUUUGAAAUGAAUUGCAGAUGUACAACAUAAAUGUUCUGUUGAUGUUCAUUGUGUUAAACUGAUAAAGAGGAAUUGAUCUCAGUUGAGAUAGUUUAAAUUGAAAAGAAAUAACAUAUGGGAGAAGGAUGUUUGGAACAAAAAUUGUUGCAAGAGGUGUUGAUGAUGUUGCUGCUGUGGUAUUGUGGAGAUACAAGGGAUAUGAAGCUACAAUUACAAUGAAGUAAUGGCUUGGCAGUGUAACUAUAUUGAAGAUUUAGGCUAUGGAGUGAACUGGAGAUGAUUUUUUCAAUGUGUUGGUGAAUGCAGAUGUUUAUGUUGCUGUUGUGAUGUUGUUCAGUUGUUAGUGUAUUGAGAUUGCACGUGUAGUGAACUGAUGUUGGUGGUUGUGUAUCGAGUUGGAAAUAGUGGUGCAUCUGAAGUUGCAGGUGAUGUUAUUUUCCACAGAUUGAUGACUGAGUAUGAAGUUGGGGAUUAAGGGUUAUGUGGUUGCAAAUAUUGCAGGCUUGAAGUUGUUUGUGUCUUCAGUUGAAAGCAAGGACUUGAUUGUGUUAUUGCAAUUAGAACUGUGGUUGAAAUUUAGAGGAAAUGUAAUGAGAUUAAGCCAGUGUGUGGAAUUGGAGCUGCACAUGGUUGUGGUUUAGGUUUGUUUGAUCUACAGGGUUAAUGCUUGUUGGUAAUGAAGCAGAAAUGAGGUUAUGGUACUGUUAUUGAACUGACAGAAGACUUUGAAGAAUGUUUUGUGAACAUAUGAAGGCUGAACUGAUGUUUUGGGUAUAUUUAAAGUUGAGUUGCACUA